rnacentral:lncRNA from 1 species
GGAGCUCUUGUAGGAGCGUGCAACGGUUGGCGUGUUGGGAUCCAUCCCCUCUGGAGCUUAACUACAAACACCAGGCUUUCCAGGGAGCUGCUGCUGCUAAAGUCUGCCGGAAUCCAAGAAAAAGCUGAGCUCUAUUUUCCAAAAAUAUCCACUAGAGGGUACUCAAUGACCUCCCAGUGAAGGCAGGUUGGGCUCCGAGCGACUGGAAGAGGAGGAGAGGAGAGCCCAAAGAAAAUGUCAUGGAGGGUUGCGUUAACUAAUGGCAAAGCACAACGCCGGACCAGAAAGCACACAGAAACGAUUUGUGCCUCGCUUGCGGAUUAAGGAGAAAGUUCUUCAGCAUCUCUCCGGAGUGCUGGUGAAACCAUCUGCCAGAGCAGCCUCUCCUGAACUGGAAGCAUAA